AUUAAGCCAUGCAUGUCUCAGUGCAAGCCACAUUAAGGUGAAACCGCGAAUGGCUCAUUAAAUCAGUUAUGGUUCCUUAGAUCGUACCCCCAUUACUUGGAUAACUGUGGUAAUUCUAGAGCUAAUACAUGCAAACAGAGCUCUGACCAGAAAUGGAAAGAGCGCUUUUAUUAGAUCAAAACCAAUCGGUUGGCUUGUCCGAUCCGUUUGCCUUGGUGACUCUGAAUAACUUUUGGCUGAUCGCACGGUCUCAGUACCGGCGACGCAUCUUUCAAAUGUCUGCCUUAUCAACUUACGAUGGUAGGUUCUGCGCCUACCAUGGUUGUAACGGGUAACGGGGAAUCAGGGUUCGAUUCCGGAGAGGGAGCCUGAGAAACGGCUACCACAUCCAAGGAAGGCAGCAGGCGCGCAAAUUACCCACUCCCGGCACGGGGAGGUAGUGACGAAAAAUAACGAUACGGGACUCAUCCGAGGCCCCGUAAUCGGAAUGAGCACACUUUAAAUCCUUUAACGAGUAUCCAUUGGAGGGCAAGUCUGGUGCCAGCAGCCGCGGUAAUUCCAGCUCCAAUAGCGUAUAUUAAAGUUGUUGCGGUUAAAAAGCUCGUAGUUGGAUGUGUGUCCCACGCUGUCGGUUCACCGCCCGUCGGUGUCUAACUGGCAUGUAUCGUGGGACGUCCUGCCGGUGGUGGCGAGCCGAAAGCGUGCGCCCGCCGCGGUUCGCCGUGUGCGUGGUCAGUACGUCGUAGGCGGACCCCGAUGAAAUCCUACCGCGGUGCUCUUUAUUGAGUGUCGAGGUGGGCCGGCACGUUUACUUUGAACAAAUUAGAGUGCUUAAAGCAGGCAUGUCCCGCCUGAAUACUGUGUGCAUGGAAUAAUGGAAUAGGACCUCGGUUCUAUUUUGUUGGUUUUCGGAACCCGAGGUAAUGAUUAAUAGGGACAGACGGGGGCAUUCGUAUUGCGACGUUAGAGGUGAAAU
rnacentral:rRNA from 1 species